CCUACGGGAGGCAGCAGUGAGGAAUAUUGGUCAAUGGACGAGAGUCUGAACCAGCCAGGUAGCGUGAAGGAUGACUGCCCUAUGGGUUGUAAACUUCUUUUAUAUGGGAAUAAAACGUUCCACGUGUGGGAUUUUGUAUGUACCAUAUGAAUAAGGAUCGGCUAACUCCGUGCCAGCAGCCGCGGUAAUACGGAGGAUCCGAGCGUUAUCCGGAUUUAUUGGGUUUAAAGGGAGCGUAGGUGGAUUGUUAAGUCAGUUGUGAAAGUUUGCGGCUCAACCGUAAAAUUGCAGUUGAAACUGGCAGUCUUGAGUACAGUAGAGGUGGGCGGAAUUCGUGGUGUAGCGGUGAAAUGCUUAGAUAUCACGAAGAACUCCGAUUGCGAAGGCAGUUCACUGGACUGCAACUGACACUGAGGCUCGAAAGUGUGGGUAUCAAACAGGAUUAGAUACCCGAGUAGUC
rnacentral:rRNA from 1 species